UUUAGCCGCGGAGCUUACAAUUGAAACUGGAGGGGCUGGAGUGUCGGAGAGGGUAAGUGGACUUCCCAAGUGUAGGCGGUGAAAUGCGUAAGAUAUUUGGGAGGGACUACCAGUGGCGAAGGCGACUACCUGGACGAUAAACUGACGCUGAGGCACGAAAAGCUAGGGGAGCAAACAGGAUUAGAUACCCUGGUAGUCCUAGCCGUAAACGAUGGGUACUAGGUGUAGGAGGGUUUCGAUACCUUCUGUGCCGCAGCAAACGCAUUAAGUACCCCGCCUGGGGAGUACGUGCGCAAGCAUGAAACUCAAAGGAAUUGACGGGGGCCCGCACAAGCGGUGGAGCAUGUGGUUUAAUUCGAAGCAACGCGAAGAACCUUACCAGGCCUUGACAUCAUCUAGAAGGCUGUGGAAACACAGUUGUCCUUUGGACUGGAUGACAGGUGGUGCAUGGUCGUCGUCAGCUCGUGUCGUGAGAUGUUGGGUUAAGUCCCGCAACGAGCGCAACCCUUGCCUUUAGUUGCCAGCAUUAAGUUGGGGACUCUAAAGGGACUGCCGGUGACAAAUCGGAGGAAGGUGGGGAUGACGUCAGAUCAUCAUGCCCCUUAUGGUCUGGGCUACACACGUGCUACAAUGGGUGGUACAGUGGGCAGCGAAGCCGUGAGGCGGAGCGAAUCCCAGAAAGCCACUCUCAGUUCGGAUUGCAGGCUGCAACUCGCCUGCAUGAAGUCGGAAUCGCUAGUAAUCGCAGGUCAGCAUACUGCGGUGAAUACGUUCCCGGGCCUUGUACACACCGCCCGUCACACCACGAAAGUUCGCAACACCCGAAGCCGGUGGCCUAACCGCAAGGAGGGAGCCGUCGAAGGUGUGGCGGAUGAUUGGGGUGAAGUCGUAACAAGGUAGCCA
rnacentral:rRNA from 1 species